rnacentral:lncRNA from 1 species
AUAAUAAAUAAAAACCUCGAGGCUUUAAAAAAAAAAAAAAAAAACCAAACCCCCAAAAAAACCCGCCAGGAAUAAAAGGAGGAAGGGAAAAAAAUGAUUUAAAAAUUAAUGAGUGAGCCCCAGGAAUUAAUUAAGAAUUAAUUAAAACUUAAUUAAGCCGAGGAGGAAAAUUGGGGGGGUCCCCUGGCAGUGAGCAGAGCUGGGAGGUAGCGCUGGGUUGGCCCCACCACCCCCAGUUUGGGGAACCCCCCAUACCUCAAUUUGGGGACCCCCACCCUAAUUUGGGGACCCCCCCCCAGUUUGGGGACGUCACCCAUGGGACCCCCAUUUUGGGGACCAUCCCCAUUUUGGGGACCUUCUCCUUUUUGGGGACCCCCUUCAUUUUGGGGACCUUCUCCAUUUUGGGGACCUUCUCCACCUUGGGGACCCCCAUUUUGGGGACCCCCCAUUUUAGGGGAGCACCCCCACCUUGGGGACCCCCCCCAUUUUAGGGACUUUCAAUGGGACCCCCCCAUUUUGGGGAAACCCCAGUUUUGGGGACCGUCCCCACCUUGGUGACCUUCUCCAUUUUGAGGACCUUCUCCACCUUGGGGACCCCCCAUUUUUGGGACCCUCCCCAUUUUGGGGACCCCUCAUUUUGGGGAC